rnacentral:rRNA from 1 species
CCGGAGAGUUUGAUCCCGGCUCAGGAUAAACGCUGGCGGCGUGCUUAAUGCAUGCAAGUCGAACGGUCCUUCGGGACAGUGGCGAACUGGUGAGUAACGCGUAAGUAACCUACCCCUAAGUGGGGGAUAACUCCGGGAAACUGGAGCUAAUACCGCAUGUGGUGGUGGGGGUAAGGCUCCACCAUUAAAGCCUUCGGGCGCUUGGGGAGGGGCUUGCGUUCGAUUAGCUUGUUGGUGAGGUAACGGCCCACCAAGGCAAUGAUCGAUAGCUGGUUUGAGAGGAUGAUCAGCCACACUGGGACUGAGACACGGCCCAGACUCCUACGGGAGGCAGCAGCAAGGAAUAUUGUGCAAUGGGCGAAAGCCUGACACAGCGACGCCGCGUGGGGGAUGAAGGCCUUCGGGUUGUAAAC